rnacentral:rRNA from 1 species
UACGUAGGGGGCAAGCGUUGUCCGGAAUCAUUGGGCGUAAAGCGCGUGUAGGCGGUUCGGUAAGUCCGCUCUGAAAGCCCGGGGCUCAACCCCGGGAGGCGGGUGGAUACUGUCGACCUCGAGUCCGGAAGAGGCGAGUGGAAUUCCUGGUGUAGCGGUGAAAUGCGCAGAUAUCAGGAAGAACACCCGUGGCGAAAGCGGCUCUCUGGAACGGUACUGACGCUGAGGAGCGAAAGCGUGGGGAGCGAACAGG